CUCUGGACUGAUAGGACGUUCAGGGCGGAAAGAG
ncrna:Paenibacillus sp. 1-18 L31-Firmicutes ribosomal protein leader